UACGGAGGGGGCUAGCGUUGUUCGGAAUCAUUGGGCGUAAAGGGCGCGUAGGCGGCCGAUCAAGUCGGAGGUGAAAUCCCUCGGCUCAACUGAGGAAUUGCCUUCGAUACUGUUCGGCUUGAGUCCUGGAGAGGGUAGCGGAAUUCCCGGUGUAGCGGUGAAAUGCGUAGAGACCGGGAAGAACACCAGUGGCGAAGGCGACUACCUGGCCUGUUCUUGACGCUGAGGCGCGAAAGCUAGGGGAGCAAACGGG
rnacentral:rRNA from 1 species